GACGAACGCUGGCGGCGUGCCUAAUACAUGCAAGUUGAGCGCUGAAGGUUGGUACUUGUACCAACUGGAUGAGCAGCGAACGGGUGAGUAACGCGUGGGGAAUCUGCCUUUGAGCGGGGGACAACAUUUGGAAACGAAUGCUAAUACCGCAUAAAAUCUUUAAACACAAGUUUUAAGUGUGAAAGAUGCAAUUGCAUCACUCAAAGAUGAUCCCGCGUUGUAUUAGGUAGGUGGUGAGGUAAAGGCUCACCAAGGCGAGGAUACAUAGCCGAACUGAGAGGGUGGAUAGCCAACUUGGGAAGGGGACCCGGCCCAAUGCGCCUACGGGAGGAGCCAUAGGGAAACUUCGGGAAGGGACGGAAGGCUUAACGGAGUACGCCGCGGGAGGGAAGAAGGGUUUCGGGUCCUAAAACUCGGUUUGUAGGGAAGAAAGUUGGUGAGAGUGGAAAGCUCAUCAAGUGACGGUAACUACCCAGAAAGGGACGGCUAACUACGUG
rnacentral:rRNA from 1 species